UCUCUCUCUCUCUCUCUGUGUAGGAGUUGUUAGACUAAUCAUAACCAUGUCUCUCUCGCUCUCUCUCUGUGUAGGAGUUGUUAGACUAAUCAUAACCAUGUCUCUCUCUCUCUCUCUCUGUGUAGGAGUUGUUAGACUAAUCAUAACCAUGUCUCUCUCUCUCUAGUCUCUGUGUAGGAGUUGUUAGACUAAUCAUAACCAUGUCUCUCUCUCCCUCUCUCUGUGUAGGAGUUGUUAGACUAAUCAUAACCAUGUCUCUCUCGGUGUAGGAGUUGUUAGAGGAGACAAGUCGUAAGCAUGUCCAGAAGACUGCGUGUCAGAGAAUAGGCCGUGUGCUGGUACAUGUUCUGGCCUGGUUCAUCUGUAUCGGCAGUACAGUGGCCUGUGUUCUAGCUCUCUACUACUUCUCUGAGUACAUGCACAAGGUAAUCCAGGAUAGUAGAUCUCGUAUUCCCACUAAGGACCCUCUCCUGAAGGAAGCCAGUCUGUUGGCCCUGCCAGUCGUAGUGUCUCUCAUCAACCUCCUGCUCCCUGGCAUCUUCAACGCUACUGCCUGGAUGGAGAGUACGACUCGCCCAGCGUAAACACAUACAUCGCCAUCAGCAGGGUAGGGGGUGGGCCUGCAGUCCACAAACUGUGUGUGUGUGUGUGUGUGUGUGUGUGUGGAGCACUAUGACUCCCCCAGCGUAAACACAUACAUCGCCAUCAGCAGGUAGGGGGGUGGACCUGCAGUCCACAAACGUGUGGUGUGUGGAG
rnacentral:lncRNA from 1 species